UACGUAGGUGGCGAGCGUUGUCCGGAAUUACUGGGUGUAAAGGGAGCGUAGGCGGGAAGCCAAGUUAGAUGUGAAAUACCGCAGCUCAACUGCGGGGCUGCAUCUAAAACUGGUUUUCUUGAGUGAAGUAGAGGUAGGCGGAAUUCCUAGUGUAGCGGUGGAAUGCGUAGAUAUUAGGAGGAACACCAGUGGCGAAGGCGGCCUACUGGGCUUUAACUGACGCUGAGGCUCGAAAGCGUGGGGAGCAAAC
rnacentral:rRNA from 1 species